UACAGAGGUCCCAAGCGUUGUUCGGAUUCACUGGGCGUAAAGGGUGCGUAGGCGGUCGUGUAAGUCUGAUGUGAAAUCUCAGAGCUCAACUCUGAAACUGCAUUGGAUACUAUUCGGCUUGAGGUCUGGAGGCGGGACUGGAAUUCUCGGUGUAGCAGUGAAAUGCGUAGAUAUCGAGAGGAACACCAGUGGCGAAGGCGAGUCCCUGGACAGGUCCUGACGCUGAGGCACGAAAGCUAGGGGAGCAAACAGG
rnacentral:rRNA from 1 species